AUGUGCGUCUUAACAGUUGUCCUUUGGUACAAUUUUUCAACAAGUACCACCUGUUACUUUGGUGCUUAGAAUUAAAAUAGGUAUAAUUAUAACUGUUACUGCCCCAAAUCUGUGCCAGCCUCUGAGAUGAUCCUCACUGGACAGUCUUUGGCAAUUCUGUUCCAAGCCUGAGUUUCAGAGCUACAUUCAUAUUCCUACUUAUCUCAGGAGACAGAAUCAAAUUCUCCACCCAACUCUUACCAUAGUAAUUGUUUAUGUAACGUGUUUACUAAAGUGUAACACACAAACAGAAAAGUGCACAAAUCAUUAAAUGUAUAGUUCAAUGAAUUCUUACGAUGAAAAAACCAUCGUUAACUAAUACCCAGCUAGAGAAACAGAAUGGUAGUAGCACCCAGAAACUCCCUAAUACCCUUUAUUUCCUUCCAGUCACUACUUCUCAUCCACCCAAGGAUAACUUAUUAUCCUGGCUUCUAACAUCACAGAUUCGUUUUGCCUAUUUUUGAACUUUACAUAAAUGGGAUCAUUCAGCAUGCGCUCUUUUGUGUCUCACUUCGUCCACUCAACAUUGUAAGAUGUAUCAAUGUAGCUGUGUGUAGUUGUAGAUCAUUCAUGCCUCGUCCACCCUUUGUGUGUGCCUGCCUGGCAAACCAGACAAUUCUCCUAUGUGUCUACCAAUGAUUAUAUUCUUUUAUAGCAAAUGAAUUAAGCUGAUAGACAGAUACAUUUAUUAAUCUCAGUAAAUGCAGUAGCUGAUAAAAGAUGCAAAAGGCAUUCUAAGAGAUGGUUCUUUUCAUUAUUUAACAUUGGUAUUUCACUUUCAAGGUGAAAUGGAAGCUGGUGUUUUAACAGCUGUUUCAAAAUCAUCAUCUGUACAAAGAUGCCAAUAUAAAAAUUGUGAUACUAUUCUGCAGUUACAAAAGCCAAGCACAGAGAGGUUAAUAACUGCCUUCGUUCUACCAGCAAGGGUCCUCGGAUCCCUCAUAUUUCCAGUGAAUGAAUUCUAUUUAUACUCUUUUUUCCAAAGCGGGCAGGGAUCUAUGAGGAAGUGAAAGAGCAAAAUAAGAUUUACUUUUAUUUUCCCAAACAGAAAUUAAGAAAUUAACAGAAGAGGCCCAUCAUGGUGGCUCAUACCUGUAAUCCCAGCACUUUGGGAGGCCGAGGCGGGUGGAUCACAAAGUCAGGAUAUCAAGACCAUCCUGGCUAACACAGUGAAACUCCAUGUCUAUUAAAAAUACAAAAAAUUAGCCAGGUGUGGUGGUGGGCACCUGUAGUCCCAGCUAUUUGGGAGGCUGAGGCAGGAGAAUGGAGAAUGGCAUGAACCCGGGAGGCAGAGCUUGCAGUGAGCCGAGAUCACGCCACUGCACUCCAACCUGGGCAGUGAUACUCUAUCUCAAAAAAAAAAAAAAAAAAAAA
rnacentral:lncRNA from 1 species